CUCAUGGGUUCAGGGCUUGCAGUCAAUGUGAGCAUUGAAUUAAUUCCACUACAGUGGAGUUAGAGAUUCAGAAGUCGAAUCCCAAAAUUAGUCUGUUCUCUGGUAACAUGCUGGUUUUGGAUAAACAAGCACACGGUGUUUUAAUGUGUUUUAUAUCUCUGGAUUUUUAAAACAUAUCACAUCACUCUUCAGUUUACAUUUUCAUCUGGGCCAAUCACUGCUAGGUUAGCAAAUGAAAAAGAUGCUGUCUGGGAAAAAAUAAAAUGUCAUUUCUGCCUUGGUAUUUAUGUAGAUUCUUUUCUAGUGUAUAUUGGGAAAGAAAAGAAAUUUUAAAAUAGUUUUGCGAACAAUAGAAAAGUAAGAGCAAGAAAGAACUGUGCAGUGUUAAUUGUUUUCUUAUUUUCUGUUAUGAAAAUGAAAAUUGUAUUGAAAGAUUUUAUUUAAACUAGAGAGAAAAGAAAUUUUCCUCUGGUUCAGGCAAAUGAGAAUGAUUUACAUUUCAAGACCAGCUGAGGAUUUGCAGGCUCCUUGCGGUGAGAUGGUCAGAGGCUGCCUGCCAGAACUUGUGGUUUCUGCAGGAAGAGGGAGACGAGGAGAGCACCAUGCCUCAGUAGGUAACUCAAUAAUAAGACGGUAUGUGGCUAUGACAGCGAUCCAUCAGGAGUUCUCCAACAUUAUCCGCAUGCUUCAUAGACCUCCCUUUUCCUCUCACUUGGCUCCUGCCUGCUCUGGGGCUUAUCAGCAUGAAUGGGAUGAAUGUGGGGCCUCUGCUGACAUGAAAAAGCAGAUUAAGGAAAGGAGCUACAGAAGAGACAGAAACAUUUUCCAGUGGGCAAUUGAGAUAAGAGGGUGUGUUGCCACCACAGAAGCCAGUCUGAGAGGAGCCUUCAGAAGAAAACAAAGGACUGCUGAGGGUGGGCUCAGGUUGAGAAGGGGAGCACUGGAUUCUGAAAGGCUCUUCAGAAAGAUUGGACCUUCAGUAAUUUGCCUUUAAUGCAAGCCCAGAAAUAACUAUUAGCACUGAAGAUAGCUGAUAGAUCAGCCAAGAAAUGACUGAUAGAUCAGCCCUCACACUGGUGAGGGGACAAGUUCAGAGAAUUAUCACGACUGCCCUUGUAGCAGAGAUGGGGACCUCCCUGCAUUACACAAAACAGUAGGAAAAUCUUACUGCACACACUGCUGCAGUAUCUCAGCCCACCUCACUAUCCUUAGUUAUGUACUUUACUAAAAUAAAACAUCAGCCCAAAAUCA
rnacentral:lncRNA from 1 species